AGAUGUUCAAAAGCUCGUUGCGGUGUAGGUACCGGUAAGCAUAUUUGAUCCGAAGUUGAUCGCUGUGGACGCGAAAUUUUAUCCUUGCAUUGAGCGACCUUUUCAAAGGAUGGAGGCAAGACUUGGUUUUCUCGUUUUCGCUUUACUACUGGUCUUGUACAUUCCUCUGACGACAGGUAAAAGGAAAUGUGGUCGGCACCAAGUAUGUAUGUAUAAGGCACACGAAGUCUCUCCUUAUCCAAUAACCUUCAAGGUGUGCGGCGACAACAUCAUGUCACUUUAUAAUGGGGUUUGCUACCCAACGUUUCCUGCCAAGCGACGUAAAAGAAGAGGCUUGAGGGCAGAGGUAGUUGUUGAAAG